rnacentral:rRNA from 1 species
GUGGGGAAUAUUGGACAAUGGGCGAAAGCCUGAUCCAGCCAUGCCGCGUGUGUGAAGAAGGCCUUCGGGUUGUAAAGCCCUUUUGUUGGGAAAGAAAUCCCGUCGAUUAAUACUCGGUGGGGAUGACGGUACCCAAAGAAUAAGCACCGGCUAACUUCGUGCCAGCAGCCGCGGUAAUACGAAGGGUGCAAGCGUUACUCGGAAUUACUGGGCGUAAAGCGUGCGUAGGUGGUGGUUUAAGUCUGCUGUGAAAGCCCUGGGCUCAACCUGGGAAUUGCAGUGGAUACUGGAUCACUAGAGUGUGGUAGAGGGAUGCGGAAUUUCUGGUGUAGCAGUGAAAUGCGUAGAGAUCAGAAGGAACAUCCGUGGCGAAGGCGGCAUCCUGGGCCAACACUGACACUGAGGCACGAAAGCGUGGGGAGCAAACAGGAUUAGAUACCCGUGUAGUCC